CCUUCUGACCUUGUACUUGGCAUUAGACCAAGUAUGUAAGAGCUCCAAAUACAUCUUGCUUAAGUGAAGCAGCAGAAGAGACUAUCACCUGAGACUCCUAUUGAUGGGUAAUUGAUGGUUGAGAUCAAGUCUAGUUUGGAAUCUGCAGGGCAAGUGAAAUUAUGUGGAACUGGUUGCAAUGACGGCUGUGAGAAAGUGUAAACCUGUUACAGUUAGAAGAGUUGAAGUUAUUUUCUUUGCUUACAUGCAUGUGGAAUCCUCGUAGUCCAAAGCAUGCUUCUAGGCUUAUACUUAAACUAAUGUCAAGUGGAGAUCACAUCACACCACAACUUCAAGUGGUUCAGAGUAGAAUGCACUCGUACUUAGUGCUACUUUGAGAAAGUUUGUAUUAUCAACAAAAAGACAUCGCAUGAUCUUUAUCUCUUUUCUUUCCUUUUUUGGUCAAAACAUGGUCUAUCUAUCUAAUUUAUGAGGGGCAAAAAAAAGAAAGAGAUAAAAUGGAAUUAGAUAGUCUCUCGAAGCCCAAAUAAGUUACCAUCAAAUAUUAAAAAGCUCCGAUGCCGGGAAUCGAACCCGGGUCUCCUGGGUGAAAGCCAGAUAUCCUAACCGCUGGACGACAUCGGAUAGACGUUAGUAGUUAUGAAUCUAAGAAUAUACCGUGUUUUAGUAUACCUCCACUACUUGUAACCUAGAUAUGGUAAUGUCAAAGAAGGUUUAUGAUUAAAUGUUUUUUUUUUUUGGUUUAAAAGGGUUGAUAAUAAUGAAUACGCUGAAUGUUGAAGGUUUAUGAUUAUAUCUUGAAAUAUCUAUGUGCACAUGAAAGGUAAGGUUCGACUCUACCCAGAGUUAGUUUAGUUUUUUCUUUUAGAAUUAGGCUUCUUAUAAAUAAAAUGUUUAUGUUAAAAGACUAUUGUUUUAAAAUUUGCCUUGAGCCCCACUUACCCUAGGCACGCCACUGGCUGCGAUGUGCGCAAGUAGGAAAAUUGAGGUGUUAAAGGAAGCAUUGAUGGAGUUCAAUGGACAUGAAGAAAGAUUCUCAGAGCAACUGCAAGAGCUUGAAGAACAUCUCUACUUCUGCUUCCACACUAUUAACAGAUCAAGAAGACUAGUGUUAGCGCAAAUCACCGUACCAAGUUCUUGAUUCUUCAAUUAUUUUGGUUCAUCAAAAAUAUCAAUACUUUUGUAGUGUUUAUGAAUUACUUAUCAUAAAUAAUUAUCAGUGUAGGAAAAUAUUUCAAUGUUUUCUUCAUGAUUCUAGUAAAACUGUCCAAGCAAAAUAUUUGAUUAUGAAGUGACAAAGAAGAUAUAUUUGAUUAUUGUUCUUUUCUUGUGUUCUGAAGCAGUGUAGGUCAAACAUCAUUAUAAUUGAACCGAACCAAACCACAAACCAAGAUGGUUACAAAAAAAACAGAUUUAAUCUCACAGUAUUGUUAAAUUGUACUUGGUAAACUCACUUUGCUACAUAAUCUUUCCGGGUUUGAAGCAUUCAAAUAAAUACACACAACAAAUAUAUAUAAUCAUUUCCUCAGAUAGAAUCGGAUCUUCUCCAUUAACAGACCCAUCAAACCAGAAAGAAAAGCAGAAGAAAAAACAAAGCGGGCGGGUCACUCCGGGAGAAAAGAAACAGAGAUACAGAGCGCGACCACAGCCAAUAACUUUUUCAGACAGACAAACUUAAAAC